ACACUUCAACUCCUCGUGGCUUGCCAUGAUGAGCUUGGACUUUGGGGGUUUUGCUGGUCUACGGCCGGCUCCUCUCAAAUGAAUUAGCUUGCCAGUGUUUGGUGGCAUCACAGGUGUGAUAAAUAUCUACACUUGUGGUUUUCUGCCAGGUAACCUUCAGUGGAUGGAGGUUCGCUGGGGCUCAUAAAUGUCUCUCCUCAGUGAGGACAGCUCUUUGAAC
rnacentral:misc_RNA from 1 species